rnacentral:rRNA from 1 species
GCUCAGUAACACGUGGAUAACAUGCCCUAAAGCGGGGGAUAAUCUCGGGAAAUUGAGGAUAAUACCCCAUAGAUCAUAGGAUCUGGAAUGACUUAUGGUCGAAAGUUCUGGCGCUUUAGGAUUGGUCUGCGGCCUAUCAGGUCGUAGUGGGUGUAACGGACCCACUAGCCUACGACGGGUAUGGGCCUUGAGAGAGGGAGCCCAGAGAUGGAUUCUGAGACACGAAUCCAGGCCCUACGGGGCGCAGCAAUCGCGAAAACUUCACACUGGAGGCAACUCCGAUGAGGGAAUUCCUAGUGCUAGCACAUUAGUGUUAGCUUUUCUCAAGCGUAGAUAACUUGAGGAAUAAGGGCUGGGUAAGACGGGUGCCAGCCGCCGCGGUAAUACCCGCAGCCCAAGUGGUGGUCGAUUUUAUUGAGUCUAAAACGUUCGUAGCCGGUUUGGUAAAUCCUUGGGUAAAUCGGGAGGCUCAACUUUCCGAAUUCCGAGGAGACUGCCAAGCUUGGGACCGGGAGAGGCGAGAGGUACUUCUGGGGUAGGGGUAAAAUCCUGUAAUCCUAGAAGGACCACCGGUGGCGAAGGCGUCUUGCUAGAACGGAUCCGACGGUGAGGGACGAAGCCCUGGGUCGCAAACGGGAUUAGAUACCCCGGUAGUCCAGGGUGUAAACGCUGCAGACUUGGUGUUGGGGGCCCUACGUGGGCGUUCAGUGCCGGAGAGAAGUUGUUAAGUCUGCUACUUGGGGAGUACGUCCGCAAGGAUGAAACUUAAAGGAAUUGGCGGGGGAGCACAAUCCAUGUCAAGUCC